UACGUAGGGUGCAGGCGUUAAUCGGAAUUACUGGGCGUAAAGCGUGCGUAGGCGGUUUGCUAAGUCAGGUGUGAAAUCCCCGGGCUUAACCUGGGAACUGCAUUUGAGACUGCACGGCUGGAGUGCGGAAGAGGGGGAUGGAAUUCCGCGUGUAGCAGUGAAAUGCGUAGAUAUGCGGAGGAACACCGGUGGCGAAGGCGAGCCCCUGGGCCUGCACUGACGCUGAGGCACGAAAGCGUGGGGAGCAAACAGG
rnacentral:rRNA from 1 species